GUCUUCCCAAUUCGUACUUGAAUUGGAUGUUCAACUGUUUUGGUUCUUCGUCGAUCGGGGAAUAGAUGCAUGCAAAUGUAAAUGUCCAUAAUUUAAGGGUGUUUUAAAACUGCCCAACAGUUAGAAAAAUUAAGGUUUGAUGACUUUCCACUUCCAACAUUAACAUAAUAUAUGCAAUGUGAUUUCAGGAUUGAGGGAAAUAAUAAUGUUAAGUAUAGGCAUCUAAAGAACCCAACAUUGUUAACAGUAUUAUAAAUAACAUAGAAUAGAACUAAUGUGUAUUGCUCUUCUCUGAUGAGCUAUGGGAUAACAUUAACAUUAACUAUUUUUCCGGUUCGAAGAGUGCUUCGAUUUGCAUGUUUGAGAACUAUGGUAACAAUGCAUUGUGCUCUUCAAUUCGCUGUUGUGAGGCAUACCCGGGCCUCAAUUAUACAGUUUCGAAGUACUAACUUGUAGGUAACCAAACUCAACAUUUUGUCACGCCCGAGCUUGACAGUCUUCAGUCUUGCGAGUUAAUA
rnacentral:lncRNA from 1 species